rnacentral:rRNA from 1 species
AGUAAUACAUCGGAACGUGUCCUAGUGGGGGGAGUAACUGCCCGAAAGGGCAGCUAAUACCGCAUGAGACCUGAGGGUGAAAGCGGGGGAUCGCAAGACCUCGCGCUGGAAGAGCGGCCGAUGUCCGAUUAGCUAGUUGGUGAGGUAAAGGCUCACCAAGGCGACGAUCGGUAGCUGGUCUGAGAGGACGACCAGCCACACUGGGACUGAGACACGGCCCAG